rnacentral:rRNA from 1 species
AGCAGCCGCGGUAAUUCCAGCUCCAAUAGCGUAUAUUAAAGUUGUUGCAGUUAAAAAGCUCGUAGUUGAAUUUCGGAAUCAAUAUAUCGGUCGUGCCUCUGGUACGCACUUAUUUAUUGAUUUCUCACUUCUGACGAAUCAUAAUGUCAUUAGUUUGGUGUUAUGAGGAAUCAGGACUGUUACUUUGAAAAAAUUAGAGUGUUUAAAGCAGGCUCGCGCUUGAAUACAUUAGCAUGGAAUAAUGAAAUAGGAUGUUUGAUCUUAUUUUGUUGGUUUCUAGGAUCGACAUAAUGAUUAAUAGGGAUAGUUGGGGGCAUUAGUAUUCAAUUGUCAGAGGUGAAAUUCUUGGAUUUAUUGAAGACUAACUACUGCGAAAGCAUUUGCCAAGGAUGUUUUCAUUAAUCAAGAACGAAAGUUAGGGGAUCGAAGACGAUCAGAUACCGUCGUAGU